CCAAACUUGGUCAUUUAGAGGAAGUAAAAGUCGUAACAAGGUUUCCGUAGGUGAACCUGCGGAAGGAUCAUUAAAAAUUUUCUUUGAUUUUUAUGGAUCAAGAAAAAAAUCCAUAAAUUCACCUUUUGUGCAACCAUUGAAAAAAUGUUACCUUUGGGAGAUUGGUUUCUUUUAAAAAAAUCAUCUCCCGAAGGGUUAAAUUGAUUUACUUUUUUUUUUUUGUAUAUCUGACUUGAAUAAACAUAAUAAUAUAAAAACAACUUUCAACAACGGAUCUCUUGGCUCUCGCAUCGAUGAAGAACGCAGC
rnacentral:misc_RNA from 1 species